AAAUUGAAGAGUUUGAUCAUGGCUCAGAUUGAACGCUGGCGGCAGGCCUAACACAUGCAAGUCGAACGGUAACAGGAAGCAGCUUGCUGCUUCGCUGACGAGUGGCGGACGGGUGAGUAAUGUCUGGGAAACUGCCUGAUGGAGGGGGAUAACUACUGGAAACGGUAGCUAAUACCGCAUAACGUCGAAAGACCAAAGAGGGGGACCUUCGGGCCUCUUGCCAUCGGAUGUGCCCAGAUGGGAUUAGCUUGUUGGUGGGGUAAUGGCUCACCAAGGCGACGAUCCCUAGCUGGUCUGAGAGGAUGACCAGCCACACUGGAACUGAGACACGGUCCAGACUCCUACGGGAGGCAGCAGUGGGGAAUAUUGCACAAUGGGCGCAAGCCUGAUGCAGCCAUGCCGCGUGUAUGAAGAAGGCCUUCGGGUUGUAAAGUACUUUCAGC
rnacentral:rRNA from 1 species